CACAGGCCGCACUUUCAGAAUCGCUGUGUAUGUCAGAGCGAUCUUGGUUGGCCCAAGUACAGGCAGAAUCAAUUCUGUCAUCAGUACUUGCAGAGAGACCUUGGUUGUUUUCAACUUUGCAAGUUUUGCAGAGCCUUUGUGGCUGAUCUCCAAUAUUUCAGGCGCCAUUACUCUGGAUCAGGAGGAUUAGGAAUCAUCAGCUCAGCUUGCUCCAGGGGGAUCUGAGCUACACAACUCCUGAUGAAUAACCAAUUCUGCAGCAAACUGACUGUCGGCUGAACUGUGUGGUGCGCUAUCAUGAAAUGAUAGAGGUGUUGCUGGCCAAUGUCGGACUCUGCCCCUGCUGACAUCAUCAAGCACAGGUCUCUAGACAUUUUUUCAAUGGCCGAGUAAGACCGAUAGGAGCCGAGACAAGCAGAAAAAAGGAGGCCCUAUCUGAGCAUUACACAUAGCCCCUGCACCACAGAGAUAACAUGGACACAAACAAAGGAGAUAGCUGCU